AAAUUACCCAAUCCCUGAUCGGGGAGGUAGUGACGAGAAAUAGCGAUGCCGCGAUCUUAGGAUUCGGCAAUUGAAAUGAGAACAAUGAAAUGAUUUUAUCGAGAAUCUAUUGGAGGGCAAGUUCUGGUGCCAGCAGCCGCGGUAAUUCCAGCUCGAAAAGCGUAUGUUAAUGCUGCUGCGGUUAAAACGCUCGUCGUUGGACAUCAGGAAAUGAAUUGUAGACAACCUAGUGUUGAUACUACAAUUUCACUCCUUAUAAUGCUUGUUCAUUGUCGAUGCACUUUAUUGUGUGUCACAUAAGAAAGCUAAUGUCACUUUGAGAAAAUUAGUGUGCUCAAAGCAAGCUUAAUGCUUGAAUAAUGUUGCAUAGGAUGACGUAAUAGGGCCUCGGUUCUGUUUCGUUGGUUUACGAAAGCAGAGGUCAUGAUUAAUCGGGACAGACGGGGGCAUUCGUAUUGUGGUGCUAGAAGUGAAAUUCUGUGACCAUCGCAAGACGGACAACUGCGAAAGCAUUUGCCAAGAAUGUUUUCAUUAAUCAAGAACGAAAGUUAGAGGAUCGAAGACGAUUAGAUACCGUCCUAGUUCUAACUGUAAACUAUGCCAACUGGGGAUUCGCCAAUGCAAUUUAGCUUGGCGAGCACCCUUCGGGAAACCAAAGUGAUUGGGUUCCGGGGGGAAGUAUGGUUGCAAAAUCGAAACUUAAAGGAAUUGACGGAGGGGCACACCAGAAGUGGAGCCUGCGGCUUAAUUUGACUCAACGCACAAAAGCUUACUCGGUCCGAACACCGUGAGGAUUGACAGGUUGAAAGCUCUUUCUUGAUCUAGUGGGUGGUGGUGCAUGGCC
rnacentral:rRNA from 1 species